AUGUCCAGCAAUCUUGAAGUGUGCUGCUCCAUUUGCUUUGCUUUGCUUUCUGACAGAGUGAGGCCACUUUGGAGAAACAGUUCCAAUCGAGUUGUUUUCAUCAGUGUGCCAUCCUUCAGACCAAAAGGCUUACAGUACAAGCUUCUUGCUUUCCUCCUUGUUCCCUUUUCCUACAGUUUGUGGCAAUGUGCUGAUGAUACUGGAACAAAGCCUGCAACGUCUCCACCUGAACAGAUCUAUCACCUUCACUCCUUUUUCAUGCCGUGCUUUGCAAUGACAUGCAUCGAACCCAAUAUGUUUUCUUUUCAAUCAGUGUUUCCAAACUAUAUUUUUCAGACAAAUUGA
rnacentral:rRNA from 1 species